AUUCUGGUGUCCUAGGCGUAGAGGAACCACACCAAUCCAUCCCGAAUUUGGUGGUUAAACUCGACUGUGGUGACGAUACUGUAGGGGAGGUCCUGUGGAAAAAUAGUUCGACGCCAGGAUGCUUAACACCAUGGCUGGGU
rnacentral:rRNA from 2 species